rnacentral:tRNA from 1 species
GAAGGUAUAGCUCAGUGGUAGAGCACAUGCUUAGCUGUGGAUGAAUGAGAUCCUGGGUUCAAUCCCCGGUACCACUA